UACGUAGGCAGCGAGCGUUGUUCGGAGUUACUGGGCGUAAAGCGUGCGUAGGCGGUUUUGUAAGUUUGGUGUGAAAUCUCCCGGCUCAACUGGGAGGGUGCGCCGAAAACUGCAAGGCUGGAGUAUGGGAGAGGUAGGCGGAAUUCCUGGUGUAGCGGUGAAAUGCGUAGAUAUCUGGAGGAACACCGGUGGCGAAGGCGGCAUCCUGGACCGACACUGACGCUGAGGAGCGAAAGCCAGGGGAGCAAACGGG
rnacentral:rRNA from 1 species